rnacentral:rRNA from 1 species
AACGAACGCUGGCGGCGUGGAUUAGGCAUGCAAGUCGGACGAUCUCGUGUAAUCGGGAUAGUGGCAAAAGGGUGAGUAACGCGUGGGUAAUUUACCUUCAGGCUCAGAAUAACUUGCCGAAAGGCGAGCUAAUACUGGAUAAGACCACGACUAGAUUUUUCUAGACGAGGUUAAAGCCGGGGACCCCAACAGGGCCUGGCACCUUUAGAUGAGCCCGCGUCCUAUCAGCUUGUUGGUGCGGUAACGGCUCACCAAGGCAUUUGACGGGUAGCUGGUCUGAGAGGAUGGUCAGCCACACUGGGACUGAGACACUGCCCAGACUCCUACGGGAGGCUGCAGUCGAGAAUCUUUAGCAAUGCCCGAAAGGGUGACUAUGCGACGCCGCGUGAGUGAUGAAGGCCUUCGGGUUGUAAAACUCUGUCAGGUGGGAUGAAUGCUUCGCUUUAAAUAGAAGCGAAGCUUGACAGUACCACCAGAGGAAGCCACGGCUAACUCCGUGCCAGCAGCCGCGGUAAUACGGAGGUGGCAAGCGUUGUUCGGAUUUAUUGGGUGUAAAGGGCAUGUAGGUGUUCUAGUAAGUUCUGAUUGAAAUCCUUCGGCUCAACCGGAGAACGUGUCAGAAUACUGCUAGAAUUGAGUGCGGAAGAGGAGAACGGAAUUCCCGGUGUAAGGGUGAAAUCUGUAGAUAUCGGGAGGAACACCAGUGGCGAAAGCGGUUCUCUGGUCCGCAACUGACACUGAAAUGCGAAAGCUAGGGGAGCAAACAGGAUUAGAUACCCUGGUAGUCCUAGCCGUAAACGAUGGGCACUAGGUGUAGGCCCGCAAGGGUCUGUGCCGCAGUUAACACAUUAAGUGCCCCACCUGGGGACUACGACCGCAAGGUUGAAACUCAAAGGAAUUGACGGGGGCCCGCACAAGCGGUGGAGCAUGUGGUUUAAUUCGAUGCAACGCGAAGAACCUUACCUGGGCUUGAACUGUAGUGGCCAACCUGCGAGAUCGGGCGUUCCCUUCGGGGACUGCUACAGAGGUGCUGCAUGGCUGUCGUCAGCUCGUGUCGUGAGAUGUUGGGUUAAGUCCCGCAACGAGCGCAACCCCUAUCUCUAGUUGCCAGCGGAUAAUGCCGGGAACUCUAGAGAGACUGCCCCGGAAAUCGGGGAGGAGGGUGGGGAUGACGUCAAGUCCUCAUGGCCUUUAUGUCCAGGGCUACACACGUGCUACAAUGGACGGUACAAAGGGCUGCGAAAGCGCGAGCUCGAGCCAAUCCCAAAAACCCGUCCUCAGUUCGGAUUGCAGUCUGCAACUCGACUGCAUGAAGGUGGAAUCGCUAGUAAUCCCGGAUCAGCAUGCCGGGGUGAAUACGUUCCCGGGCCUUGUACACACCGCCCGUCACAUCACGAAAGUCGGCUGUACCGGAAGCCGGUGGGCUAACCCGCAAGGGAGGCAGCUGUCGAUGGUAUGGUCGGCGAUUGGGGUG